CAUUAAAUUAUGUUCUCUUAACCAUUUUGAAUUCUCAUAAAACCCUUUCCUUUGACAAAGCACCAAUAUCACACAUAAGGAACACUGGAAAAGAUUCAACGCAAUACAUGGACACACACGAAAACAAAUAAGAACCAUCGCUUGUUGCCAUUGACGCAAUGCUAGCAAAAUUUUGACAUGAAACUAUUCCAGAAACAUAAAGUGCAACAAAAUCAACAUAUUCAAAAUUAUAGAGUCUAAGCAAACAAAAUCAAAGACUAUUAAAUAGGAAAUAAAUCCCAGCCAAUAAUCAAGUACUCGAUAUGGCAAUCAUAAUUAUGGGCUCAGCGCAAUCUCCUGGCCUCCCUCUCAGACUCCAACAAUGUGAGAAUAUCACCCUCUCUGACUGGUCCCUUGACAUUUCUCAUGAUAAACCUGUUCUGGUCGUCAAGAAACUUGACUCUCACCUGAGUCACCUGCCCCCUGGAUCCCGUACGACCCAUGAUUUUAAUCACAAUUGCAUGCUUGGUAACAGAUUCCAUUCUUCCGGUGAGAAAAAUCUGCAGCUGUAGGUUGUUGUUGCUGCUG
rnacentral:misc_RNA from 1 species